ensembl:ncRNA F22A3.11 ncRNA
GAGGCGGACAGUGGCUCCGAUUCUUUGCAAUUCGAGGACUGUGAAGGAUUUUUGAUUGGCAAUUUUAAAUAGUGUUGGGAGAAUAAACAAAUAGAGA